UGAGCAAUCUGCCCUUCACAUCGGAAUAACCAUUGGAAACGAUGGCAAAUACCGAAUAUGACUUCGGAUCGCAUGAUCUGAAGUGGAAAGCUCCGGCGGUGAAGGAUGAGCUCGCGGCCUAUCAGCUUGUUGGUGGGGUGAUGGCCUACCAAGGCGAUGACGGGUAGCCGGCCUGAGAGGGCGACCGGCCACACUGGGACUGAGACACGGCCCAGACCUCCG
rnacentral:rRNA from 1 species